AUUUGAAUGCUGCGUUAUUUGUGUCACCGAUAAACGUUCUGCGUUUGUGAUGCAAGUUUAUACAAAACUAACAAAACGAGUAAAUUUAAAGAUGUUGCUUGUCCGUAGGUUCAUCUUUAACAAAAUUGUAACGGACUGCUCGCAGUAUAUUUUUUUU
rnacentral:telomerase_RNA from 1 species